UACAGAGGUCCCGAGCGUUGUUCGGAUUCACUGGGCGUAAAGGGUGCGCAGGUGGGUUGGUAAGUUUGGUGUGAAAGCUUCGGGCUUAACCCGGAAAAUGCAUUGAAUACUACUGAUCUGGAGGAUUGGAGGGGGGACUGGAAUUCUUGGUGUAGCAGUGAAAUGCGUAGAUAUCAAGAGGAACACCAGUGGCGAAGGCGAGUCCCUGGACAAUACCUGACACUGAGGCACGAAAGCCAAGGGAGCAAACAGG
rnacentral:rRNA from 1 species